rnacentral:rRNA from 1 species
UUAUAUUUUUUUUUUAAAAAAAAUUAAAAAUUUUUAGGUAAAAUUUUAAAUUUUUAAAAUUAAAGUUUGUAAUUUAAAAGUUUAAGUAAUAAAUUAGAUUAGUACCUAAGUAAUUAAAUUUUAUUAAAGCAGAAGUAAAGUAAAAUGUAAACUGUAAAAAUUUUGGCAGAUUAUUUAAAUUAUCUUUGGAGGUUGAGUAAUAAAUGAGAACCCUCAUUAACUACUAUUAUUAAAGGCUUAUGUAUGAUCGUUUAUUGUGUGUUUAAGACAUAUAAUAAAAUUUUGGAUAUAAUAUAAAAAUAGAUAUAUAUUUAGUAUAUGUAAAAGUUUAAUUUGACCUACAUUAUAAAAAAAUGUGGAUAAUAAAUGUGAGUUUAUUGUGAAAAUGUAAAAGACAGUAAAAAAAAUUUAAUGUUUUUUUGAAGAGUAUUUAAAAAUGG